CGUGGGUAACCUGCCCAAGAGAUCGGGAUAACACCUGGAAACAGAUGCUAAUACCGGAUAACAACAGAUGAUGCCUAUCAACUGUUUAAAAGAUGGUUCUGCUAUCACUCUUGGAUGGACCUGCGGUGCAUUAGCUAGUUGGUAGGGUAACGGCCUACCAAGGCGAUGAUGCAUAGCCGAGUUGAGAGACUGAUCGGCCACAUUGGGACUGAGACACGGCCCAAACUCCUACGGGAGGCAGCACGCC
rnacentral:rRNA from 1 species